AUGGGGUUAAAUCACAAAAGAACUCAUGAUGAUAAUCGCAAUUCCUUAUGUUUACUGUGUUUAAAGAGAGGGAGAUUUAGAGUAAUCAACGAGACUCUUAAGGGAAAAAUUCGGAAUUUAGUGCCAGCAUACAAUCCAGAGAAUGAGUGUUUGCCCCCUGUAGUAUGCAAAACGUGCAUGGCUUACAUUUAUCGCGGUAAGAAAAUCGAAAAGCAGCCAGACUUCUCAAAUUUUGUCCUAAAAAUCAAAACUAGAUCACAACUUGUUGGUGAAAAUGUUCCAUGCGAUUGCCAUCUUUGUAGUCUUGCAAGGUUGCCACCCAAUGCAAAUUUUUCCGAAAAUGGCAAGUGCUUAACGGAUGAGUCUCGCUCCAAAGUUUUUUCCGCUAACUCAGCGAUCGAAUCUUCAACUUCAGGUGUGGGACGCGUUGUGAAGGCAGGCAAAAUCGAAAGACGGUGCAGUACUUGUCUCACUUCUCUGAAACAAGGAGUCCAGCACAGAUGCAACAAAUCAUCGUUGUUGAGGAACAUUUCAACAGCACUUAAUGAUACCUCCGGUACAAAAGGCAAAGAACAGUUAACUGCCCGGCUACUGAAGGAAAUCCAGGAGGAAAAACCCGAAGGGGAUAAUAAAUUAGAAAAACCAGUGUCUCUCACACAAUUAAAAGGUAAACCUCUGAAAAUUAAAAUAAAAACGAAGAGAUCCUCCUCAAGGAAAAAAACAUUAUUGACAGUCAAAGAUUUAUUGUCAAUUAAAACGUCCUUAAAUCUAAGUAGUAGAAGUACCGAAGGAGUAGCCACUGUCAUUCGAGCUGCAACAAAAAACAGAAAAGUUGUAGAAAGUGACUUGAAACAGAAGCUGAAGCACCUAACCCAUCGUGUCGAUCAUUUUUUCGACGUUGAUGAAAUGCAGUUCAUUCAUACGAAUAACGACUCAGAAGUAGCAUGUCCUGGUCCGUUGGUUUAUUGUAAAGACCUGCAGAGUUUCCUAGACUUCAUAAAAGAUGAACGCGGAUUGACCUCCGUGCACUUAAAAUUUGGAAUUGAUGCAGGAAAGGGAUUUUUAAAAGUGUGCGUAUCUGUGCUUCCUGAGGAAAAUGAAACAGGCGAUUCAGACAAGCAAAUGAAAAAACGGCAACCAUACGAGGAUGGACUCCAAAAUAGAGAAUUCAGUGCCUCAGGAGUGAAGAAAGUUUUGAUCCUAGCCAUCGCCCCACAUACGCAAGAAAAUUACGAAAAUGCCUCCAUUUUAUGGAAAAAAUUAUCGAUAAGUAGUUUCGAUGGUACCAUUGCCACAGAUCUUAAACUGGCAAAUAUAUUGGUUGGAAUUAUGUCGCAUUCUUCAAGUCAU
rnacentral:lncRNA from 1 species